rnacentral:rRNA from 1 species
AGACANCUCCUACGGAAGGCAGCAGUGGGGAAUAUUGGGCAAUGGGCGCAAGCCUGACCCAGCAACGCCGCGUGAAGGAAGAAGGCUUUCGGGUUGUAAACUUCUUUUCUCAGGGACGAAGAAAGUGACGGUACCUGAGGAAUAAGCCACGGCUAACUACGUGCC